rnacentral:lncRNA from 1 species
AUGUAGUCACCCCAGCCGCAGCCACAGCCCCCACCAAAUUCACGGGACAGGCCGAAUGGGGCCGGGACACACGUCGAUGGCCAUAUGCUCCUGGAUGCUGAUGGUCGCCUUCUCCCCGCGCCGCCGGAGGGUCAUGCAGGCAGCGCCGCGGCGCGCGGCCCGGCCCGGUCCGGUGUGACCCCGGUCCGGGGGCAAGUCAGCGGGUCCCGCGGGGCGCUGCGGGGGCUGCGGUCAUCGCCAGCGUGGCCCCCGGACGGCCCUGACGCGGCUGCUGCCUGCUCGGCGGCGGCCGGUGCGAGUGAGUGCGGGGCCGGCAGCAGGGGGCGGGCCCAGCCCGCGUCACCCGGCAGCAACCAAGCGGGAAGGACACCUGCUCCCAUUUUGGGGGAAUGGAAAUGGCUCAAAUGUGCUGAGCAUGUCUGAGGGAACAUGUCUGAGGGAACGUUGAUGGUCGUUUGUACCAGGGCUGCACCAACUAGGGUGGAUGCUGAGGAGCUAGCUGAAGCCACGUACCCUCCAGGACCUCUGCGGGAGCCAGCUGUAUGUGGUUUGGCCCUAAAUGUUCACGAGGGAUCUCGGGAGGCUCCGGUGGGUACAGAGAGCCGAAGGCUCACUGAAGGCGAGACUCCAUCUCUGUAGUUAUGCACACAUGCUUUGGGAUCACCUCUGCUUGGACUACCAGGUUGCUUGCUGUCUGAGAUGCUUCUGUGCUUCUGGAUUUUGACGGACAUUGUAG